rnacentral:rRNA from 1 species
CCUCCGGUAAGGGGGACCUGCGGAGGGAUCAUUACUGAGUUUACGCUCUGUUUAACGACGUUUCUUCUGAGUGGUACAAGCAAAUAAUCAAAACUUUUAACAACGGAUCUCUUGGUUCUGGCAUCGAUGAAGAACGCAGCGAAAUGCGAUAAGUAAUGUGAAUUGCAGAAUUCAGUGAAUCAUCGAAUCUUUGAACGCACAUUGCGCCCGCCAGCAUUCUGGCGGGCAUGCCUGUUCGAGCGUCAUUUCAACCCUCAAGCUCUGCUUGGUGUUGGGGCCCUACAGCUGAUGUAGGCCCUCAAAGGUAGUGGCGGACCCUCCCGGAGCCUCCUUUGCGUAGUAACUUUACGUCUCGCACUGGGAUCCGGAGGGACUCUUGCCGUAAAACCCCCAAUUUCCAAAGGUGACCUCGGAUCAGUAGAUACCCGCUGAACUUAAGCAUAUCAAAGGCCGGGAGGGAAA